CAGCUUAUUCCUUAUUCACAGUUCACAGUUGGAAACUUCGUCGUGAACAUGUGUUGUUGUUAUUACAUGUUUUUGUAAAGUUUAUACUUUUAGAUAUCUUUUAUCCUGUUUGCAACCAUGUGAAUAAUCAAAAUCGAGUGCCUAUGAAACAUUGUUGCAUUAAAUAUAGCUAAAAUGAAAGUGGUUGAAGCAAAAAUAGUUGUACUAGGAUCACAAGGUGUCGGCAAAACAAGCCUUGUGGUCCGCUACAUAGGGAAGAUGUUUUCCAAACACAUCUCGCCCACCAUCGGAGCAUCAUUCUUCACUUGCAACAUAAAUGUUGACGGAGCCAGAGUUAAACUGCAGGUGUGGGACACGGCAGGGCAGGAACGAUUCCGCUCAAUGGCGCCCAUGUACUACCGUAACGCCAACGCCGCGCUCCUAGUCUACGAUAUAACCAGCGUCGGCAGUUUCACUGCCAUUAAAACGUGGGUCAAAGAGCUACAAAGCAACGUACCAGAGCCAAUGGCGUUAGCUCUAGUGGGAAACAAAUGCGAUUUGCAGGAAGCCCGCGCGGUCCCUCACUCCGAAGCCAAGCAGUACGCCGCGGCCAUCGGCGCGCAGUACUGCGAGACCUCGGCCCUGCACGAUCAGGGCAUCGACCACGUAUUCCUGAGCACGGCUACAGCAUUACUACAAAUGUCGACCACAACCUUGAGUGCUUCACUACGCUCUUACGACUCGGCAGAGGGCGACACCGACAGAGUACCCACAGGUAACUGUAUACACACACUAACACACACACAAUCAAGUAUUCCUGAGCAUGGCUACAACAUUACUGCAAAUGUCGACCACAACCUUGAGUGCUUCACUACGCUCUUACGACUCUGCAGAGGGCGACACCGACAGAGUACCCACAGGUAACUGUAUACACACACUAACACACACACAACCAAGUAUUCCUGAGCAUGGCUACAACAUUACUGCAAAUGUCGACCACAACCUUGAGUGCUUCACUACGCUCUUACGACUCGGCAGAGGGCAACACCGACAGAGUACCCACAGGUAACUGUAUACACACACUAACACACACACAACCAAGUAUUCCUGAGCACGGCUACAACAUUACUGCAAAUGUCGACCACAACCUUGAGUGCUUCACUACGCUCUUACGACUCUGCAGAGGGCGACACCGACAGAGUACCCACAGGUAACUGUAUACACACACUAACACACACACAACCAAGUAUUCCUGAGCACGGCUACAACAUUACUGCAAAUGUCGACCACAACCUUGAGUGCUUCACUACGCUCUUACGACUCUGCAGAGGGCGACACCGACAGAGUACCCACAGGCGACCCCACGGACGACCCGGCCACGCACACGGGCAGCGUGGAGCUCCCGGCGUGGAGCAUCGCCAGCAUCGCGCACGGGGAGCCCGCGAGGAGCAUGUGUUGCUAGCACAAAUUUGAAUGCAUAACCAAAUCGAU